CAGGACAACAACAGCCACAGCAAAGCUAAAAUUUACCCAACAGAUGGGCAUGCCUGAGCUUAAGCCCAAACAAGACUGUAUUACUAGGUGGAACUCCACCUUUCACAUGCUAAAACGAAUCCUGGAAUCCAAGGAUGCAGUCAUCUCAACUCUUGCUAUUAUCAAUGCACCUGUUGAUCCUCUGAGCCCAGAGGAAUGGGAGAUGACGCAAGAAGCAUGCACUGUUCUGGAGCCAUUCGAGUAAGUCAUGGUGGAGAUCAGUGCAGACAGCCAUGUUACAGCCUCUAAGAUGCUCAUCCUGUGUAAAGGGCAUGCAGAGAGUGUCAGCUGAGCACCAGACCAGAGUAACCACAGGGAAAGUGAAAGAGCUAGUGGAUGCUCUCUGCGCAUCCAUGGACAGAAAGUUCCACAGAAAGGAAUAUAACACUGUUCUGUCAGAAACCACAAUUCUUGAUCCAAGAUUCAAAAAGCUGGCCUUUAAUGACAACAGAACAGUUGAUGAAGCUCUUCAGAGAAUAACUGCAGCAGCAGCAAGGUUCAGCCAGUCAACUCCACUGCCAGGGGGCCAUGAGGGAGAAGAGGCAGCAGAGCACGAACAAGAGGAGCCACAAGCAUCUGCUGUUUGGAGGUUCUUUGAAGAGCGAGCAACUGGAGACACAACAAGAAGGAAUCCCUCAUCAGAUGCAAUAAUGGAAGUGAGAUCCUAUCUUGAGGAGCCCCUUUUCCAGAGGAUUGCAGAUCCACUGAGCUGGUGGGCUACCAAGAGUUCAGUCUACCCACGUCUUACACGCGUGAUGGCACGGAGACUGUGCAUUGUUGCAACAUCUGUCCCCUCAGAGAGAAUCUUCUCUAAAACAGGGCAGAUAAUUACUGAUAGAAGAAACCGGAUCAGCACCUCAAAGCUCAGACAGUUGGUUUUUCUGAAUGCCAAUCUUUACUAAAGAUUGCUAAUGACUAAAUAUGUAUACCUGCUGGAUGCAGCUUUUUUCUUUUUGUUUUGCAUAUUUCAAUUUAUAUUUUGUUCGCUAUAUUCUGUUCAUUGUAAAUAGUUCAAAGUGUUUUGGCUAAUUUUUGAAUAAAAGGAGUUUUGACUUUGUUUUGUUUUGUAUUUGGUUAGAUCAAUGAUAAUUGUUUGUUUUGUCUGACUGAGAUGUUUGUUUUUAUAUUUAACAUUUUAUUGUAUAUUUAUUUUAUACGUUUUGUCAUA